GCCGGAAUGGCGCAGUGGUAACGCGUCGCACUUGUACGAUUAAGCAAAUGCGAAGAUCCCUAGUUGUAAGUUGCGCCA